rnacentral:rRNA from 1 species
CAGUAUUCUGACUGUGCUAAGGUAGCAUAAUCAUUAGUCUUUUAAUUGGAGGCUGGUAUGAAUGACGAGACGAGAAAAUAGCUGUCUCUAUAAUAAACUUUGAAUUUCAUUUCUGAGUGAAAAAGCUCAGAUAAUUUUGAAGGACGAUCAGACCCUUUGGAGCUUUAUUUACUUCAAAAAUUUGAAUUUGUUUUAAUUGAUUGAAUGGAAAGUAAAUUUUGUUGGGGCGACAGGGAGUAAAAUAUAACACUCUUUUUUUAAAACAAUCCUAAUUGGAAAAUUGAUCCUUAAAGUGAGAUUAUAAGACUAAGUUACCCUAGGGAUAACAGCGUAAUCUUUUUGGAGAGUUCAAAUCGAUAAAAAGGUUUGCGACCUCGAUGUUGGAUUAAGAGAUUGGAAAGGUGCAGAAGUUUUGCUGGAAAGUCUGUUCGACUUUUAAUCUCUUACAUG